rnacentral:rRNA from 1 species
GUAGGUGGCAAGCGUUGUCCGGAAUUAUUGGGCGUAAAGCGCGCGCAGGCGGUUCUUUAAGUCUGAUGUGAAAGCCCACGGCUCAACCGUGGAGGGUCAUUGGAAACUGGAGAACUUGAGUACAGAAGAGGAAAGCGGAAUUCCACGUGUAGCGGUGAAAUGCGUAGAGAUGUGGAGGAACACCAGUGGCGAAGGCGGCUUUCUGGUCUGUAACUGACGCUGAGGCGCGAAAGCGUGGGGAGCAAACAGGAUUAGAUACCCUGGUAGUCCACGCCGUAAACGAUGAGUGCUAAGUGUUAGGGGGUUUUCCGCCCCCCUUAGUGCUGCAGCUAACGCAUUAAGCACUCCGCCUGGGAGUACGGCCGCAAGGCUG